GUUUAGGUUUUGUGUCCUCUCCUUCUUCCUCUUUUUCUUUUCCUUCUUCUUCAGGGUAUUCAGGGUAUUGGUGAGGAGAAGAUGGAGGGGUCUUAGUGGGUGGAGAGACAGAUCUCAUAGAUGAAUAAACACCAUUUUGG
rnacentral:ribozyme from 13 species